UACGAAGGGUGCAAGCGUUACUCGGAAUUACUGGGCGUAAAGCGUGCGUAGGUGGUUUGUUAAGUCUGAUGUGAAAGCCCUGGGCUCAACCUGGGAAUUGCAUUGGAUACUGGCAGGCUAGAGUGCGGUAGAGGAUGGCGGAAUUCCCGGUGUAGCAGUGAAAUGCGUAGAGAUCGGGAGGAAUACCUAUGGCGAAAGCAGGCUACUGGACCGUCACUGACUCUGAUCUGCGAAAGCUAGGGGAGCAAACAGG
rnacentral:rRNA from 1 species